UACGUAGGGGGCAAGCGUUAUCCGGAUUUACUGGGUGUAAAGGGCGUGUAGCCGGGCUGACAAGUCAGAUGUGAAAUCCGGGGGCUCAACCCCCGAACUGCAUUUGAAACUGUUGGUCUUGAGUAUCGGAGAGGCAGGCGGAAUUCCUAGUGUAGCGGUGAAAUGCGUAGAUAUUAGGAGGAACACCAGUGGCGAAGGCGGAUUGCUGGACAGUAACUGACGCUGAGGCGCGAAAGCGUGGGGAGCAAACAGG
rnacentral:rRNA from 1 species